UACAGAGGUCCCAAGCGUUGUUCGGAUUCAUUGGGCGUAAAGGGUGUGUAGGUGGCGCCGUAAGUCGGGUGUGAAAUCUCGGGGCUUAACUCCGAAACUGCAUUCGAUACUGCGGUGCUUGAGGACUGGAGAGGAGACUGGAAUUUACGGUGUAGCGGUGAAAUGCGUAGAUAUCAAGAGGAACACCUGAGGUGAAGACGGGUUGCUGGGCUGACACUGACGCUGAGGCGCGAAAGCCAGGGGAGCAAACGGG
rnacentral:rRNA from 1 species